AGAGUUUGAUCCUGGCUCAGGAUGAACGCUAGCUACAGGCUUAACACAUGCAAGUCGCGGGGCAGCAUAUAGAUAGCUUGCUAUUUAUGAUGGCGACCGGCGCACGGGUGAGUAACGCGUAUCCAACCUUCCCCAUAGUAGGGUAUAGCCCGGCGAAAGUCGGAUUAAUCCCCUAUGUUGUUUGAAGCGGACAUCUAAUUCAAACCAAAGAUUCAUCGCUAUGGGAUGGGGAUGCGUCUGAUUAGGUUGCAGGCGGGGUAACGGCCCACCUGGCCGACGAUCAGUAGGGGUUCUGAGAGGAAGGUCCCCCACACUGGUACUGAGACACGGACCAGACUCCUACGGGAGGCAGCAGUGAGGAAUAUUGGUCAAUGGGCGGGAGCCUGAACCAGCCAAGUAGCGUGCAGGAUGACGGCCCUACGGGUUGUAAACUGCUUUUAUGCGGGGAUAAAGUGCGGCACGUGUGCCGUUUUGCAGGUACCGCAUGAAUAAGGACCGGCUAAUUCCGUGCCAGCAGCCGCGGUAAUACGGAAGGUCCGGGCGUUAUCCGGAUUUAUUGGGUUUAAAGGGAGCGCAGGCGGAGAGCUAAGCGUGACGUGAAAUGUAGCCGCCCAACGGCUGACGUGCGUCGCGAACUGGUUUUCUUGAGUGGGUACGACGUCGGCGGAACUCGUGGUGUAGCGGUGAAAUGCUUAGAUAUCACGAGGAACCCCGAUUGCGAAGGCAGCCGACGAGUCCCUUACUGACGCUAAAGCUCGAAGGUGCGGGUAUCGAACAGGAUUAGAUACCCUGGUAGUCCGCACGGUAAACGAUGGAUGCCCGCCUGUUGGCGAUAUAUUGUCAGCGGCCAAGCGAAAGCGUUAAGCAUCCCACCUGGGAAGUACGCCGGCAACGGUGAAACUCAAAGGAAUUGACGGGGGCCCGCACAAGCGGAGGAACAUGUGGUUUAAUUCGAUGAUACGCGAGGAACCUUACCCGGGCUUGAACUGCCGGCGAACGAUUCAGAGAUGAUGAGGCCCUUCGGGGCGCCGGUGGAGGUGCUGCAUGGUUGUCGUCAGCUCGUGCCGUGAGGUGUCGGCUUAAGUGCCAUAACGAGCGCAACCCCUCUCCGUAGUUGCCAUCGGGUUAAGCCGGGCACUCUGCGGACACUGCCACCGCAAGGUGUGAGGAAGGUGGGGAUGACGUCAAAUCAGCACGGCCCUUACGUCCGGGGCUACACACGUGCUACAAUGGGGAGUACAGAGAGCCGGUCAGCGGCAACGCCGAUCCAAUCCUUAAAGCUCUCCUCAGUACGGAUUGGGGUCUGCAACCCGACCCCAUGAAGCUGGAUUCGCUAGUAAUCGCGCAUCAGCCAUGGCGCGGUGAAUACGUUCCCGGGCCUUGCACACACAGCCCGUCA
rnacentral:rRNA from 1 species